GGGGUAAAUUAAUAAGUUAAUAAAUAAUAAAAAAAAUUUUAAUAUUAAAAAGAAAAAUGGGGGUUUAAGUAUUUUUAAUAGAAAAAAUUAAUAUAUUUAUAGUUAAAUAUUACUGUAAAGGAAAUUAUAAAUAAAUGAAAUUAAUUAAAUAAAAAGUAAAUUUAAUUUAUUGUAUCUUGUGUAUCAGAGUUUAUUAAUUAAGAAAAAUUUAUAUAAAUAAAUCUCGAAUUUAAAAGAGUUAAUUAAUUAAAAAAUUUAAUGUUGAAUAAUUAUUUUACAUAAUUAAUUAGAAAUGAAAUGUUAAUCGUUUUUAAAUAUAUCUAGUUUUUUUAGAAAGAAAUUUAAUUUUAAAUUUAAAUAAUUUUAUUUUUAAUUUAAUUUAAUUAUAAAAAUUUAAAAUUUAAUAUUUUAGGGGAUAAGCUUUAAUUUAAAAUUUUAUAAUAAAAAAAAAAUUAAAAAAAAAAUAAAAAUUUUUAGAAUUUAUAUUGUUUAAAAAAUUUAAUUUAUUAUAAAAAAUUUUAAUUAAAAUAAAAUUUAAUUGUAAAAUUUAAUUUUUUAUAAAAAAAUAUUUUUUAAUAAAAAAAAAUUAGAAAUAAUGAUAAAAUUAGUAUAAUUUAAAAAUUUUAAAAUUAAAAUUGUUUAAAGUUAAAUAAAAGGAAUUCGGCAAAUUUUUAUAUUCACUUGUUUAUCAAAAACAUGUCUUUUAGAAAAUAAUUUAAAGUCUAAUCUGCCCACUGAUAUAAUUAUUAAAGGGCUGCAGUAUAUUGACUGUACAAAGGUAGCAUAAUCAUUAGUCUUUUAAUUGAAGACUUGUAUGAAAGAUUUGAUGAAAUAUAGACUGUCUCUUAUUUAUAAAUUAAAAAUUAAUUUUUUAGUUAAAAAGCUAAAAUAAAAUUAAAAGACGAGAAGACCCUAUAGAGUUUUAUAAUUUAUUAAUUUAAUUUAAAAUAUUAAAUUAAAUAUUUAAAAUUAUUAAUUUAUUUUAUUGGGGUGAUAAAAAAAUUUAAUAAACUUUUUUUAAAAAUAUACAUAAAUAAUUGAGUAAAUGAUCCAUUUUUAGUGAUUAAAAGAAAAAAUUACCUUAGGGAUAACAGCGUAAUAUUUUUUUUUAGUACGAAUAAGAAAAAAAGUUUGCGACCUCGAUGUUGGAUUAAGAUAAAAUUUAAAUGCAAAAGUUUAAAAUUUUGAUCUGUUCGAUCAUUAAAAUCUUACAUGAUCUGAGUUCAAACCGGUGUAAGCCAGGUUGGUUUCUAUCUUUAAUUUAUUAAAAUAUUUUAGUACGAAAGGAUCAAAUAUUUAAAAUAAUUUUAUUUAAUUGAAUUUUAAUAAUAAUA
rnacentral:rRNA from 1 species